GUAAGGGAAGAAGAGGGAGAAGAAAGACAGGAGAGAGUGAGACAGGAGGCGGGGGAGGAGGCUUCUGUGCGCUGAUUACUAAUGCAAUGCGGUGGAGAGCUCAGCAGGUUCUGUGGGGAAGCAUUUAUUGUGCAGGAGAAAGCAGGCAGCGUGUUCAAAAAGCUGUCUCCCGGCUCUGCAGCCAAGCUGGAGGGGAGGAGAGGGCCCUGCAGGGUUUGGGGGCUGCUCUGCCUCUGAGAUGCAGGACAGUCUGCACCUCCCACUCCAGGGGAAUCUAAUCCACUCAGGCCAAGGGAGGAAAGAGGAGGCGGCCCGAGGCCACACUGUCCAAGGGGGUCGCCAUCCGACUCUGAAGCCUGGAGACCCUGGAGCCCCAGAGUGAGUCUUCCCGAGGCCGUGACCAGAGGGCUGACGUCUGCAUCUGCUGACUUCCACGGGACCUUAUCUUCAGACCGGCCUCUUCGGAGGGGCAGCAUCUACACCGAGAAGGAUGUCAGCAUGUGCGUGGAGGGCUGGAACCGCGCCUUCUUCAGCAUGGAUCAGAGACCGGCCAAGAGCUCUGGCAGCAGAGUCAGCUAGAGGCCAGCUGUGCUCCGGACAGGAUCAGAAGCUGGCUGUCUGUGCUUCCUUCCUUUUGCUCCUCCUCUUCAUCAGAUCCUUCUUUGUCCCUGAAAGCCAGGCCGAUGCCCAGCAGUGCACAUUCUCUUGCCCCUCCGUUCCUCUGAGGUGGCCGCAGUCUGAAGCCCCUCUGGGCCCCCUUGUGCCUGAACUGAGACACACAAGUAGAAAAGGACUCCGCAGACGGCUGCACCCGUGGUGCAAGAGGAGGCCCCGAGGCUGUUUGCUCCAGCACCUGAGCCUGGAAGGGAACACAGAAGACCGAGGGAGGAGACUCUGAGGCUGCCGGAGCCCGGAGACCGUGAAGCGGCUGGCCGCGGCAGAGGCGACCUUGAGACAGAGGAGAACCAGAGUGGAGCGGG
rnacentral:lncRNA from 1 species